GCAGAGACUACCCCUCGUACCUUUUGCAUCAUGAUUCAGCCAGUAAAAUACAUGCAAAGAGCCCUCUAGUUUGUAACCCCGAAACCCGACGAGCUACUCCGGGACAGCCUAUCCAGGGCCAACCCGUCUCUGUAGCAAAAGAGUGGGAAGAUCCCCGAGUAGAAGCAACACACCUACCGAGCCGGGUUAUAGCUGGUUGCCCAAUAAAUGAAUAAAAGUUCAGCCCCGCACAGCCCAAUUCACAACAGUCAAACGACAAAAGACAAAGAGCUACUAAGCGGGAGUUAAUCAAAGGAGGUACAGCUCCCUUGAUAGAGGAUACAACCUUGACCGAAGAUUAAAGAAUAUAAUUAAACAAGGCCACAAGUCUCAGUGGGCCUAAAAGCAGCCACCUGCCCAGAAAGCGUUAAAGCUCAGACCAAACUAUGCCUAUUAUCUCAUUCAACACUCCAAAAUCUCCUAAAACACUGGGCCCCUCUAUGUCCCCAUAGAAGAGAUUAUGCUGAAACGAGUAACAAGAAGACCAAACUUCUCCCCGCAUAAGUGUAUGUCGGAUCGGACACACCACCGACAAUUAACGAACCCAAAAACAGAGGGCCCCACACCACAGCCACUCCAGCCAAGAAAAACACGUCCCCCUAAAUCGUUACCCCUACACAGGAAUGCUUGACCAAGGAAAGACUAAAAGAAAAAAAAGGAACUCGGCAAACUUAAACCCCGCCUGUUUACCAAAAACACCGCCUCUUGCAAAACAAAGUAUAAGAG
rnacentral:rRNA from 1 species